CCCAACAAAACUAUCAUGUCUUGUAAUCACCACAUGUAUCAACUUAACAUCGUGGACAUCACAUGAUAAACACGGGAUCAAAUCGAUCUUGGUAUUAACAAUACCGUAAUGAUUAUUACAUAACCACAAGGAGCUUGAUCUUUACCCGGAAUCAUCACAUGACAUCAUAAACCACAACCAACUUCGGUAUCCAUGAUACCACUUUGAUCCUCUCAUGAUUACAUAAAUAUCAACCAACUUCUUUCCUCAUCGAACACAAGUUGUUUAUUAAUCAAGUUAUUAUUACUGUUGACUCAUAGUGUGACCUACUACGAACUGGGCCCAUAUCCGCAGGCGCGGCUAUCGCUAGAUUAUACACACUCUUCAGAGGUUAGCACACUGUACCCACACUAUGGAACCCAAGGUUUCAUGCUCCCAUUCGGGUGGACCAGCGGCGUUCCGGCAAAACCGAUCUAUUGCAGGACACUCUCCCGGCCACUCCGACAAACUCCCCUUUGGUCUAAGUCAUGGGUGGCCCUGGAUGCCACUCUGGACAUCACCUGGCCACUAUUGUGGCAAAACAAAAAACGGUCCCAAACGGGGACAACGGUACCAUACAACAACAACAGGCACACAAGGCUUAUGGCUGCCUACCCGAUCAAGGUAGCGCGCCCACCUACCCUUCCCUGGUUGGAGGCACCGGUGAGAGGCAUGACAAUAGACUGCAUUAAGGC
rnacentral:lncRNA from 1 species